GCCACACACCUGUUUCCACGCCAGAAGCCGAGGCGGGAAGACGGAAAUGCCGAGGCCAGUCUGGGCCACGUGGGGGACGCUGUUCACUUGCUCUGUAGCCCAGGCUGGCCUGGAGCUCGCCUCUCCACCCGCCUCAGCGUCCCUAUCAGGGAUUGCAGGCACGUGACAACAAGAUCUCUAAGGGUGUGCUCCAGUCAACUCUGUGCUGCUGUGGUAAACCGCCUGGGACAAGCCACUUAAAGGAAAGAAAGCCCUUGCUCUUCGCACUCCACGCUUCCCAGCCAGGAGAAAGGACUUUGGACUCCCUUUGCCUAGAAGACGGAGCUGAGAGCCCCCACAGGCUGCUGUCUGGAGCCUGGAGCAAGUCUUGUGAGGACCACGUGGUAGGAAAGCCUACAGAGGGAUUGGACACCCUGGAGAAGGAGCUACAAGGAGCGUGUGCUAAGAAUCAAGCUUGAGUCCCGGGAGAGCAUCACAGGAUCUUACUCUCCGGCGGCCCCAUGCUUAGUGCGCUUGCGGCUCCUGCAGAGGACCCGGGUUCAGGUCUCCGCACCCUCCUGUGGUUCCCACCCACCCGUAACCCCUGGUUCCGAGCACCCAGCACGCUCUCCCGGCUUCCCCGAGCACCAGGCACACACACGCUCAUGCACGUAAAAUCUUUAAAAAAGGAAAGGGGAGCCGCGAGGGACACCACGCGCACGCAGGGAGCCUGGGUGUCCUCCGGUCCAGGCCGCAGCCGCCCCACCGCACCCACCAUGAGCUGUGGUUCCGCGUCUCUGUCCGCCGCUGAGACAGCCAUCCAGGCUCUCCCCUCAGGACCAUCAAGGAAGCUUCCCAUCUCCCUCCCGCCCCGUCACCUCUUACAAUCCGGCAGCACUGUGCUGAACGACGUGGGGCUUUUCUAGAAAAGCAUGGCAUCCGCUUAGCCUUUUCCAGGGGUUUUCUCAGCCGCGUAACCCCCACUGAACCCCCCCCCCCCCGAGUCCCCCAGAUGUGCUGGGUGGCGUCCAACGCCGUCCUUGCUCGUGUUUUGGCACAGGCUGCGGUGAGCCCUUCUUCCACAGAAGCUGGGCUCGGCCAAGCUGCCUCUCUGCCGCCCUCACCGCUCCGUGCGCCCCUCACGUCCUCUGAUGGCCUGUGCUGGUCACCCUCCUGAGCCGCAGCGCCUGCUGAUCCACCGUGCUCUCUACGGUGUGUGGGCUUGGCUGUCCUGGAACUCACUCUAUAGACCAGGCUGGCCUCGAACUCAGAGAUCCGCCUGCCUCUGCCUCCCAAGCACUCAAAGGCAUGUGCCGCCGCCCGGCUGGCCCCGCAGCUCUUGGCGAUGGAGCCUUCUGGAGAGGCAGAAUUCCUCCCACGGCUCAGCUCCUGCACACCCCCGCUGCCCCUGCUGGGCGUGAUCCCGAGAAGACCCAGGUGGGAGCCGUUAGCACCCCGUUUCCGCUGCUCACUGGCUGUUGCUAUGUUACACAACUAGAACCACGUGCCACCCUGACCAGUCUGACCAGAAGGUCGCCGGUUGGACCCACCAGUUAGGGAAGGUGGCUCCUGGCCUGUGUACCGCAAGCACGGAAGGCCCUCUAGGUGCGCGGCGUGGGCAGGGCGCCCCCGGGUGGCAGCCUCCCGAACUGCAGGCGCCGCCCUCCGCGGCUCCGCACUCUGGGAUCGGCCGCAGGACUCGGGGCCAAGUUUCUCUCCUGGCGCUCUCUGUCCUGACCUGACACCCAGUUCCGGGAAGAACCGGCUUCUGGAACAGGCUUGCCCGGGCGGCCCGGGAGACAGUCUGGCUACGCGGGUUGUCCCGAGUAACUCAGAGAAGGCCGCGCGCAGGGCUCCGCCGGGCCCCGCCCUGCAAGGGGAGCUGGGACCUAGGGCUCCUGCUGGGGCCCCGGGCUCAGCCAGGCGACGCCUCCUCCUCUGUGCAGUAGCUGCUCGCGGUUUUUGGUUUUUGUUUGUUUUGUUCUUUUCGAGACGGGGUUUCUCUGUGUAGCCUUGGCUGUCCUGGGCCGCCUCGGACUCACAAAGAUCCGCCGGCCUCUGCCUCUUCCCGGUGCUGGGAUUAACGCUUUAGUCUCGGGGUCAGCCUCGGUUACAAAAUACUAAGUGGGAAAAUCCCAGAAACAAACAAUUCAGGGUUCUAAAAGCUUCCCAGGCUGCACACCGGUAAAACCGGUAUAAACCGGUCUAUCAUUAGCUGCUGCUAAUUUGUUGUACCGAGUUAAUCAAUUAGCUGGGUGUGGUGAUACAUGCCUAAUCCUAAAACUCGAGAGAUAGCGGCAGAAGGGUGAAGAGUUCAAGGCCAGCCUGGGCAACAUGAAACCUUUUCUUUAAAAAGUGCGUGGGGGUGGGCUGAGGCCUGGAGAGACCUCGCAGAGGUCCUGAGCUGGGUUCCCAGCCCACACUGGGCAGCCCCACGCCCACAGCACCUGCGCUCACCACCCACACACCUAAUUUAAAAUGAGCUCUCGUAGGUUGGCACAGGCUCCCACUGUCCGGUUCCAGGCAUCCCUGUGUCCACACAGCAGCUACAGCUUCCAUCUUAAAGACAGCAAGAGAGACUUUAACCUGGAGCCUUUGUGGGUGCGCAUGGCCCGGGAACACACUUACGUUCCCCAAAUUCCACGUCCUCCUGGCCAGCCCUGCCACUAACCUACACUUCUCCAGGCCCCCCCCCCCGCGCUGCUCUUCCCCCGGCUGCCCUCCCUAGAUAGCCCAGCGUUUGUCUACCCUCUUCCCUCUCCUCACAGGCCUGGCUCAGGGUGCCAUGCCUACUCUGGGCUCUCCCGGAUGUCCCUGCCUCUGCCUUCAUUCUCCCUUCUAUCUGUAAUAACCCCCCACACACCUAGGAGCAGUCAUGUUCUUCCUUUAUUAUUAUUAUUUUUCAUUCACAAAGAAAGUCAUAAAUCAAGGCAAGUUCAAAACACAUUGGUGGGCACAGCAGAGAGGCAGAUACAUGGAGACGGGGAAAGGUCUUUAAGGUGCUGCCUGGUGACAUUCUAAAACGCUUUGUUUGUUUAUUUAUUGAUUUAGUAUACAGUGCUUCCCUGAACACCGGAAGAGGGCACCAGAUGAUUGUGAGCCACCAAGAGGCUGCUGGGAGCCAACCUCUGAGCCAUCUCGGUACCUGCUGCCAUUCUUAGCUCUGGGACUGGUGGAAGGCGGUGUUCUGCUGGGUCAGUAGCUCCUGAGAGGUUUCUGUUAUCAUGAGGAGUUGGUUCAAGGAGUUGGAGCAAGGACUGGCUGUUCCAGAAUGGAAAACCAGCCCAAAUGGUGCACUGAGCCUCUGAACCACCAAAUCUCAGUCUCCCCACAGGACCAAAAUUCCACCUGGGCCUCCUGCCUCUGCAGCCACAGAAACUCUGUCCAGGAGCCUUUGCUCACAGCCAGGCACCACUUCAGUUCAGGAAUGUUUCCACUUGGGGCCCCAGGCUGUGAUCCCUGCGCCGUUAGGGCAGGCCUUCUUCUGCCUGUGUCCAGUCCAGCGUGCUGAGCCUGUGCCUGACAGACACCUCCUCUGGGCCCGCUCCUGUGCUGCGCCUGGAAGCCAUCACUGAGGACAGCAACACCAGACAAUUUGCUCACUGGGCCUUUAGAACCACCUCAGAAGCACCCUGGCUUCCGAGGGAGGAGAGUUCCCGUCACACACACACACGCACGCACGCACGCACGCACGCACGCUCAACAUCCAGGGACUCCCAGGGACUGAGUGUUGGGUUGGCACAACCCUCAGGGUCAGAGCUCCUCACUGAGGCCUCCCACCUGAGAAGGUGAUUCAAAUGUGGUCCGAGGCUGUUAAAGUGCCUCCGGAGCGGGACUUAAAGCUACGAUGACCACAGAGACAGACGCUGUGCCCGCCGGCUGGGGAAGCAAGUCAGCAGGAGAGAGGCAGGGUUAAAGAAAAUGUCAGCCGGGCAGUGGGGGCCCAAGCCUCCAGCACAUAGGGAGAAGAGGCAGGCGGGUCUCUGUGAGUUCAAGGCCAGCCUGGUCUACAGAGCAAGUUCCAGGACAGCCAGGACUACACAGAGAAACCCUGUCUCAAAAAACCAGAAGAAAAAAAAAGAGAGAGACACACACACACACACACACACACACACAGAAGGCUUUAAACCCCUCUGUGGGGCCUGGUGCACACCUUUAAUGCGGUGCUCAGGAGACAAAGGUAGGCGGGUCUCUGAGAACCUGAAGCCAGCUGGGUUAUAGGGAGUCCCAGGAUAGCCAAAGGUACACAGUAAGACUGUUGAAAAAAAGAGAAAAAAUGGCGGGGGGGGGUUUGCUAGAGAGAUGGGCCAGCAGCUAAGAGCGCUGCUCUUCCAAAGAACCUGAGUUCCACUCCCGGCACCCACACCGGCAGCUAACGACUGUUUAACACUCUGGUUCGGGGUGUUCUGGCUUCCUUCCAAAGGCAAUGAAUGCACAGGACGCACAGGCUCACAAUCAAGCAAAAACAUCCAUGUAUACUAAAUUAAAAAAAUAUUUUUUUUAAAGCAAGCAAAAGACACCCAAGCCGAGGCUGGUAAAUGGCUCAGUAAGUAAGGGAGCUUGCAGCAAAAGUCUCCCAACCUGAGUUCAAGUCCCAGCACCAUAAAAACCAGGCAUGGGGAUGCACUCCUGCCAUUCCAGCACUAGGGAAGCAGAAACAGGAGGAGCAGAAGUUCAAGGUCAUUUUAGGCUACUGAGUAAGUCAGAGUAUGUGAGACCCCGUCUCAAAAUAAAUAAAUAAUA